rnacentral:lncRNA from 1 species
GAGUGGCCUUCCAGUGCCUACAGAUGCAAUAUUUUAUGCUGGAACAGGUAACUUGUUGUGUCGAUCAGAGGAUAGAGUAGUUAUAUUUGAUCUCCAGCAGAGGCUUGUUCUUGGUGAUCUUCAAACCCCUUUGGUGAAAUAUGUUGUUUGGUCUAAUGACAUGGAGAAUGUUGCUUUACUCAGCAAGCAUACGAUUGUCAUAACUAACAAGAAGCUUGUUCACCGGUGCACUCUUCAUGAGACAAUACGUGUAAAGAGUGGAGCCUGGGAUGACAAUGGUAUUUUUAUCUACUCCACCCUCAACCAUAUAAAAUACUGCCUCCCGAAUGGAGAUUGUGGAAUAAUUCGAACGCUUGAGGUUCCAAUAUACAUAACAAAGGUUUCUGGAAAUACUAUAUUUUGCUUGGAUCGUGAUGGGAAGAAUAAGGC